UUCAUCUUCAUCCAUUUGCCGCCAUUCUGACCAUACUGAUACUAAGCACCACCCUGCUCAUAGAACCUGCUUCUCUUACCUUGCCUUUCCCUAAACUCUACCUAUUUUCUUUUCUUAUCCUCCAUUUGUUGUAUGUGGACAACCAACCUUAAAAUAUUCAAAUACUUAAUUAUCAAAGUAGUCUUAAUGUCAAAAAUUAAAUCCCUAGAUAUCCCAAAAGUGAACUUUCUCAUCCUCGACCUCAUAC
rnacentral:lncRNA from 1 species